CCCGGGGGCUGCUCAGCGCCGGCGGAGAAGGGGCUGCGCCGCCUGCACCGCCUCGGCGGCACUGUGGGCUCGGGAGGAGGAGGAGGAAAAGGAGGAGGGAGGGAGGGAGAGAGAGGCAGGCGGAGGGAGAGAGGCAGGAGAACGAGCCCUGCGCGGCAGCGCGGCCAACUUUCCUUCUGCAGCGCAGCAGGAACAGCCUCCCAUCCCUCGGUGUGUAACCCCCGCCCUGGGUGCUUUCCUCCACAGCUGAUGGAGAUCCACCUCAGCAGGAAAGUUCCUGUGCAGACAGAAGCACAAAGAGCUACACUGACAGGGAUCAACACAAAGGGAUAUCUGAAAGGGGCAAAGAUGGGGAGGAAGAAAGUCCAUCUCCCUGGCUCUGAUGGCUGUUGGAGCAGGGCAGCCCAUGAUGGCUUGUGAGCCUCCACGGUCCUUCAGUUUCUGUCUGUGAGGAGCGAGGGACUGGGAGCCAUCAAGGCAGGAUGUCAAAAAGGAAAUGCCACCUGGAAGCAGAAAUUACCAGAGACGUACAAACAGCUUUUCUUACAGAAUGGAGGUUUAUAGGAGUCAAGGAAGGGAUGAGACUUUGCAGGCAUAUAUCAUUAUAGCUUCAGGGAAAUCAUUUCACCACGAGUCACUCUGAGCAGGGCUGUUACAGGGCUAGUGCUGACCCAACAAUUGGCCACUGCCUUCAGUGGGAGCAGCCUAAGGAACAGCACCUGGCUGAAGAGUCACACAAUCCUGAUCUUUGCUCUCUGGGUGCUCUGCACCAAGUCUGGGAGAGCCCCUGGAGACAGAGCUGCUCUGAAAGCCUCAGCACCAAACCACACGGGAACCAGCACAGCGUGAGAGCAGGAGAGUCCUGAUCUGGGAGCCACGCAUCCAGUGCUGCAGGAACAGCUCUGUGGUGGCCAACAUUCCAGGAUUUCAGGAGAAUCAUUAACUGGUGCAUCCACUGAUGUGCUAAAAUGCUCGUGUCACGUUACCCUGUGCUCCUCAGCUGUCCA
rnacentral:lncRNA from 1 species